rnacentral:rRNA from 1 species
UACGUAGGGUGCAAGCGUUAAUCGGAAUUACUGGGCGUAAAGCGUGCGCAGGCGGUUAUGUAAGACAGAUGUGAAAUGCCCGGGCUUAACCUGGGAACUGCAUUUGGGACUGCAAGGCUAGAGUACGGCAGAGGGGGGUAGAAUUCCUGGUGUAGCAGUGAAAUGCGUAGAUAUCAGGAGGAAUACCGAUGGCGAAGGCAGCCCCCUGGGUCGAUACUGACGCUCAUGCACGAAAGCGUGGGGAGCAAACAGG